rnacentral:rRNA from 1 species
GAUGAACGCUGGCGGCGUGCCUAAUACAUGCAAGUCGAGCGAACGGACGAGAAGCUUGCUUCUCUGAUGUUAGCGGCGGACGGGUGAGUAACACGUGGAUAACCUACCUAUAAGACUGGGAUAACUUCGGAAAACCGUAGCUAAUACCGGAUAAUAUUUUGAACCGCAUGGUUCAAAAGUGAAAGACGGUCUUGCUGUCACUUAUAGAUGGAUCCGCGCUGCAUUAGCUAGUUGGUAAGGUAACGGCUUACCAAGGCAACGAUGCAUAGCCGACCUGAGAGGGUGAUCGGCCACACUGGAACUGAGACACGGUCCAGACUCCUACGGGAGGCAGCAGUAGGGAAUCUUCCGCAAUGGGCGAAAGCCUGACGGAGCAACGCCGCGUGAGUGAUGAAGGUCUUCGGAUCGUAAAACUCUGUUAUUAGGGAAGAACAUAUGUGUAAGUAACUGUGCACAUCUUGACGGUACCUAAUCAGAAAGCCACGGCUAACUACGUG